GACGGGGGCCCGCACAAGCAGUGGAUUAUGUGGUUUAAUUCGACGCAACGCGAAGAACCUUACCAGGGCUUGACAUCCAACUAACGAGGCAGAGAUGCGUUAGGUGCCCUUCGGGGAAAGUUGAGACAGGUGGUGCAUGGUUGUCGUCAGCUCGUGUCGUGAGAUGUUGGGUUAAGUCCCGCAACGAGCGCAACCCUUAUUGCUAGUUGCUACGCAAGAGCACUCUAGCGAGACUGCCGUUGACAAAACGGAGGAAGGCGGGGACGACGUCAAAUCAUCAUGCCCCUUAUGUCCUGGGCUACACACGUAAUACAAUGGCGAUCAACAAAGGGAAGCAAAGCCGCGAGGCAGAGCAAAUCAAAAAAAGUCGUCUCAGUUCGGAUCGUGGGCUGCAACCCGCCCACGUGAAGUCGGAAUUGCUAGUAAUCGCGGAUCAGCAUGCCGCGGUGAAUACGUUCCCGGGCCUUGUACACACCGCCCGUCACACCAUGAGAGUCGGGAACACCCGAAGUCCGUAGUCUAACCGCAAGGAGGGCGCGGCCGAAGGUGGGCUGUAUAAUUGG
rnacentral:rRNA from 1 species